rnacentral:sRNA from 1 species
GUUCAAUCCUUUAUUUUUAUAUUUUAAUUAACUUCUUUAAGAAUAUCAAACAAAUAACUUGUUUUUCUACUUUUGAAAAUUGUGACCAGAGUUGGUACCAAAAAUAUUCUACAGUAUUGUGUGAUGAGAGAACAGAUACCAACCUUCUUUUUUUUUGUUCCUCGUUUCGUUUUCACGUGCCUUAAGGUGACAUGACAACAAGCGCAUAGAAUAUUAUAAUAGCAUUAUGUUGCGUGAUUAACCAAAAUGUCUACAAACAAUGUAGUGUGCAUUCAUAUGAAUACCACUAAACCACCCUUUGGAGGUGCCGGAAAACAGCCAUAGAAAACCAACCUUAUAAGAAUCGAAACUUAUUUCAAUCUAAAACAGUUAUCAGCACGCAAUCACACGUGGAAAUAGUUGAGAAACACAGGACAUACCUUGCACCGGUUGAGAUUGAGUUUAUCAAGAAGAUGAAGAAGAAGCGGAAUUUAGCAGUAGAUUGGAUGGAUGAAGUGAGAUGUGAGAAAAACUAUUAAGCAAGAUACUUCUGGGGAAUG